GAGAGCAGUACAUCUCAGAAGACAGUGAAAAUGCACCUAACGCUCUUUUUUUUCUGCACCAGUGCAGUGUUCUCCGGCAUCUUUGCAAGAAAUGGAUCUCCAAUAAAUUGUUGCCUCACAAGAAGUCCUGUGAGAGUCAAUGUGAAAAAAAUUGUGAGGUACAGGGAGCAGCAUAAAGGACUUUGUCCAGUUACAGCAAUUGUUUUCACCCUUGAAAAGGGGAAAGUCCUCUGCUCUGAUCCUGCCUCACCCUGGACAAAAAUGGCAAUGCGGAAGGUCGAUGCAAGAAAAGGAAUGCAAAACCACAGCAUUGCACUGGCACCAGAUGCUCCCCAGGAGAACACAGAGGGUUUACUGACAACCACCAUGUUGCCUUUGGCCAGUAGAUGGCCUCAAGUGCCCGCAAGUGUAGCCAUAUCGAUGGGGAAGCACAGAGCAGACUCACCUUCAAAAGUAAAACCUUCUAAACCAAAGUGCAAGCAAAUUAAAAUAAAUAAAUGGAAGUGUUCAAAAAAAAGAAGGAAGGGGAAAAGAAAGAUCACCAAGCAACCAGUACUCAAUCGUACAACUUCUUUUACUCCAGCUUCUUAUAAAUAAGGGCUUGUAACCAUAUUUUCAUGUCUAAAGGGCAUAAAUUAUUUUCUUAGUUAUAGAAACUAGACUUGUAGACUUGCAUACAAAUGUGAAUUGUGAAAUGGAAGGAAAAAAGAGUAAACAAAAUAAAAUAGAAACGAAUAUUGUUCUGCUGUAUUGUGUCUCCUGACCCUACUAUCUCCACUAUAAAUCUAUUCUAUACUAUA